rnacentral:rRNA from 1 species
UACGGGGGGAGCAAGCGUUGUUCGGAUUUACUGGGCGUAAAGGGCGCGUAGGCGGUCGUGACAAGUCACUUGUGAAAUCUCCGGGCUUAACUCGGAACGGUCAAGUGAUACUGUCGGACUAGAGUACAGAAGGGGCAACUGGAAUUCUCGGUGUAGCGGUGAAAUUCGUAGAUAUUGGGAAGAACACCGGUGGCGAAGGCGGCCAUCUCGGACCGCAACUGACGCUGAGGCGCGAAAGCGUGGGGAGCAAACAGGG